GGAGCGCGGAGGUAGUAAUAGGGGAGGAGGGUGCUCCUUUGGGUCUGGAGUUUCUGGUUCGUAGUGUUGUGGCUGUAGUUUGGGGCUAGUGGUGUUAGCUUUUUUGCAUCCCGUACUAGUUUAUUAGGCAUUUAUCUUUGUGUUUGUUAUACGGUUAUUUUGUUUUGUAUACCAUACUAGUUUAUAUGCACCUACUUUUUGUAUUUGUUAUACUGUUAUUGGUCCUAAGCCGGGGGUCUAUUGGAAACAGUCUCUCCACUUCUCUUGAGGUAGUGGUAUGGACUGCGUACACUCUACCCUCCCCAGACCCCACUAGGUGGGAAUACACUAGGUAUGUUGCUGUUGUUGUUGUUGUUGUUGUAACUGUCUGAGAGUACUGAGUUCUGUAAAUCACUGAGUUCUAAGAAUCGUGGCUUGACUGAGAUUACCGUGAAAACUAACACGGGCUCUAAACUUGCAGCUAAAUUGUCG
rnacentral:lncRNA from 1 species